UCUGGUGGCAAUGGCGGAGGGGCCACACCCGUUCCCAUCCCGAACACGGAAGUUAAGCCCUCCAGCGCCGAUGGUACUUGGGCAUGAGCCCUGGGAGAGUAGGUCGCUGCCAGAG
rnacentral:rRNA from 1 species